UAACGCGUGGGUAACCUGCCCUUAAGUCUGGGAUACCAUUUGGAAACAGAUGCUAAUACCGGAUAAAAGCUACUUUCGCAUGAAAGAAGUUUAAAAGGCGGCGUAAGCUGUCGCUAAAGGAUGGACCUGCGAUGCAUUAGCUAGUUGGUAAGGUAACGGCUUACCAAGGCGAUGAUGCAUAGCCGAGUUGAGAGACUGAUCGGCCACAUUGGGACUGAGACACGGCCCAAACUCCUACGGGAGGCAGCAGCA
rnacentral:rRNA from 1 species